rnacentral:rRNA from 1 species
GACGUACGCUGGCGGCGUGCUUAACACAUGCAAGUCGACAUGAGUGGCGAACGGGUGAGUAAUACGUGGGUAACCUGCCCCCCUUUUUGGGCUAAGCCUUGGAAACGGGGUCUAAUACCGACUAAAGGGGGAUGGGCUCGAGGCCUAUCAGCUUGUUGGUGGGGGGAGGGCCUACCACGGCGGUGACGGGUAGCCGGCCGGAGAGGGUGACCGGCCAGAGUGGGACUGGGGUACGGCCCAGACGGCUACCGGAGGCAGCAGUGGGGGAUCUAGCACAAUGGGCGAUAGCCUGAUGCAGGGAGGACGCGUGGGGGAUGAAGGCUUGGGGGGUGUAAACCUGUAUAGCUAUCGAACGGGUAGGUGGAGAAGAAGCGCCGGCUAACUACGUGCCAGCAGCCGCGGUAAUAC